GCUUAACACAUGCAAGUCGAGGGGCAGCAUUUUAGUUUGCUUGCAAACUAAAGAUGGCGACCGGCGCACGGGUGAGUAACACGUAUCCAACCUGCCGAUAACUCGGGGAUAGCCUUUCGAAAGAAAGAUUAAUAUCCGAUGGUAUAUUAAAACCGCAUGGUUUUACUAUUAAAGAAUUUCGGUUAUCGAUGGGGAUGCGUUCCAUUAGUUUGUUGGCGGGGUAACGGCCCACCAAGACAACGAUGGAUAGGGGUUCUGAGAGGAAGGUCCCCCACAUUGGAACUGAGACACGGUCCAAACUCCUACGGGAGGCAGCAGUGAGGAAUAUUGGUCAAUGGACGAGAGUCUGAACCAGCCAAGUAGCGUGAAGGAUGACUGCCCUAUGGGUUGUAAACUUCUUUUAUAUGGGAAUAAAGUAUUCCACGUGUGGGAUUUUGUAUGUACCAUAUGAAUAAGGAUCGGCUAACUCCGUGCCAGCAGCCGCGGUAAUACGGAGGAUCCGAGCGUUAUCCGGAUUUAUUGGGUUUAAAGGGAGCGUAGGUGGAUUGUUAAGUCAGUUGUGAAAGUUUGCGGCUCAACCGUAAAAUUGCAGUUGAAACUGGCAGUCUUGAGUACAGUAGAGGUGGGCGGAAUUCGUGGUGUAGCGGUGAAAUGCUUAGAUAUCACGAAGAACUCCGAUUGCGAAGGCAGCUCACUAGACUGCAACUGACACUGAUGCUCGAAAGUGUGGGUAUCAAAC
rnacentral:rRNA from 1 species